rnacentral:lncRNA from 1 species
GUUCGUCUCCGACUGGUUCGGCGUCGGGAACGCUGUGGGCGGCGAACGACGGCAGCAGCAGCAGGGAGGCGUUGUUCGAUGAGGGUCAGCAAGUAGCUCGUCGGGACGGAGGGCGGCGACGGCUCGAGCGGCGUUGAGCGCAGCAGGUGGCGGUGGCUACGCGGCGAACGGCAACGACGACAUCGGGGUCUGCGAGGAUGGGCGGCGGCUGCGUCGGAGGCGAGCGGAAGCAUCAGGUCGUCGCGGGCGGAGUCAG